UGGACCCACAAGACAGGAAGUGGAUCAAAGAUGGCCCUUCCUCAAAAGUCUUUGGAUUUGUGGCCCGGAAGCAGGGCAGUGCCACGGAUAAUGUGUGCCACCUGUUUGCAGAGCAUGACCCUGAGCAGCCUGCCAGUGCCAUUGUCAACUUCGUAUCAAAGGUCAUGAUUGGUUCCCCAAAGAAGGUCUGAGAACUCCCCUCCCUCCCUGGACCCACCGAUGCCUCUCGAAGCCCUGGAGACAGCCGUUGGGUGAGGGUGGGGCCCCCACUUUUUACCAAACUAGUAAACCUGACAUUCCAGGCCCAUGAGGGGAAAGAGGAUCUUCCAGCUCUGCAAAAACAAGAACAAACAACAUCACCGUGAAUUGGCCUUUCCUGAAAGUGACUUAUCUGACACAUCUCUGUAGCCACAUGCUUUUUGGGUAGAAGAAGCUGGGCAUGGGUGCACCCCACCCCCUAGGGUCCCCAUGGGAAAGGGACAUGCAAGGAAACAGCACAGAACACGAGGUGGUCCCCAUGUCCCUGGCACACUAGCAUUCCGGGGGAUGAGGAAUCCCCAGCCCUUGAGGCAGAGGUGCCGAGUGACUGCCAUGCUUCGCCCGUCCGCAUGGGCGCUUCUGUCCAGCUGCACCCGAGGCCGGGGGUUUCCCUCACCUCGGUCUUCCCAAGAUGGAGAUGCUAACGAAACUGAGAAGGGGGCGUAUGUUUGACGAAGGUUUGUGCAAGUCAGGCCCUUCUGGAACACAGCAGGGCCUACAACGAGGGGCCUUUGCGAUGGGCUGUGAGGAUGGGGGUGGUGGGAAGAAUUGGCCACGUUGGAGACCCCAUGCCACCCCACCAUGGUGAGUGCUCUGUGCCUCCUGCUCACCUGUGGUGAGCUGGGCGAGCUGGGCGAGCUGGGCGAGCUGGGCUGGGGAGAGCCUGUGAGGACCGAGAGG
rnacentral:lncRNA from 1 species